ACCCCAACUAGUGAAAAAUAUUUUCAGUUCCUCUCCCUUUUCCCUCUCUCCUCAGUUUUACACUGUGUAUUUGGACAUACAAAGAGAACAUGGUAGUUUAAUCUGAGCAUUUCUGAAUAGCAAUGUUCUGCAAAAACUAACCUUCUUCUUCAAGUCUUGGUUUGCUUUAGUUUAUUGCUGCACAGUGCCAACGUGUAACAUCUUAUUUGUUGUCAUGGAAGCACUGCUACAGGCUCAGUGUCAAGAACAUCCUCUUCCCCCCGCUCUCCCUCAGCCUCCAACAUAGCGAGGAGAUCCAGCAGAGCGGCCCUGCAAGUCACCCUCCUUCUGCAAAGAGUUAGAGCUGGACUGGGAGGGAAAGGAUCUGGAGAGCUGCAAAUUCAAUCUUAAUAAAAGGGUAAAAAGUUUUAUGUUUCCAGAUGACCAGCUGAACCAGCUGAGCCCUGCCACACAAUACAUGGCUCUUGAAAACUCCGUCCUUUGGCUUCAGGAUUUUUGGCUCCUUGCUUAGUGCUCAUAAAGAUUUUGGGAUUCCAGAAGAGGUGAAAACACAUUUGCCUGUCAAGGUGAAUCUACCUACAUUAACAUUCAGUGUAAGUAUAUGUGACACAGUUUUUGUCUUUGGGUUCUCAAAUUAUGGUGAUGUUUUUGAGUUGUACAAGCCAAAGCUAUAAGAAUAAGGGUAAAAAAAAAAUGUUGCUGAGAGCUCUGGUUUGAAAAACAAAACAAAGCAAAUUAAAAAAAAAAAAAAAAGUAAGCAAGCCACUGUAAUUUGAAGACAAUGAAGAACAAUACUUAUGUCUUUCUACACUGAAAGAGUUUUUAUGUACCUGCCACUAAUGGAAUGGAUUCAACAAUGUAGUACUUUUAUGGUCCAUUUUACGACCAGAUAAUUAUAUAUUUUAGCUAAUACAAAUUAACUGACAUUUUACUGUUUUCUGGUUUAAAGGAAAAAAACAUUUACUAGUAUGGUGAGGAAGAUUCUCAACCAGAACACAAACCU
rnacentral:lncRNA from 1 species